rnacentral:rRNA from 1 species
GACGAACGCUGGCGGCGUGCCUAAUACAUGCAAGUCGAACGAACUCUGGUAUUGAUUGGUGCUUGCAUCAUGAUCUACAUUUGAGUGAGUGGCGAACUGGUGAGUAACACGUGGGAAACCUGCCCAGAAGCGGGGGAUAACACCUGGAAACAGAUGCUAAUACCGCAUAACAACUUGGACCGCAUGGUCCGAGUUUGAAAGAUGGCUUCGGCUAGUC